rnacentral:rRNA from 1 species
GACGAACGCUGGCGGCGUGCUUAACACAUGCAAGUCGAACGGAAAGGCCCUGCUUUUGUGGGGUGCUCGAGUGGCGAACGGGUGAGUAACACGUGAGUAACCUGCCCUUGACUUUGGGAUAACUUCAGGAAACUGGGGCUAAUACCGGAUAGGAGCUCCUGCUGCAUGGUGGGGGUUGGAAAGUUUCGGCGGUUGGGGAUGGACUCGCGGCUUAUCAGCUUGUUGGUGGGGUAGUGGCUUACCAAGGCUUUGACGGGUAGCCGGCCUGAGAGGGUGACCGGCCACAUUGGGACUGAGAUACGGCCCAGACUCCUACGGGCGGCAGCAGUGGGGAAUAUUGCACAAUGGGCGGAAGCCUGAUGCAGCAACGCCGCGUGCGGGAUGACGGCCUUCGGGUGGUAAACCGCUUUCGCCUGUGACGAAGCGUGAGUGACGGUAAUGGGUAAAGAAGCACCGGCUAACUACGU